rnacentral:rRNA from 1 species
AGAGUUUGAUCAUGGCUCAGGACGAACGCUGGCGGCGUGCCUAAUACAUGCAAGUAGAACGCUGAAGAGAGGAGCUUGCUCUUCUUGGAUGAGUUGCGAACGGGUGAGUAACGCGUAGGUAACCUGCCUUGUAGCGGGGGAUAACUAUUGGAAACGAUAGCUAAUACCGCAUAACAAUGGAUGACACAUGUCAUUUAUUUGAAAGGGGCAAUUGUUCCACUACAAGAUGGACCUGCGUUGUAUUAGCUAGUAGGUGAGGUAAUGGCUCACCUAGGCGACGAUACAUAGCCGACCUGAGAGGGUGAUCGGCCACACUGGGACUGAGACACGGCCCAGACUCCUACGGGAGGCAGCAGUAGGGAAUCUUCGGCAAUGGGGGCAACCCUGACCGAGCAACGCCGCGUGAGUGAAGGAGGUUUUCGGAUCGUAAAGCUCUGUUGUAAGUCAAGAACGGGUGUGAGAGUGGAAAGUUCACACUGUGACGGUAGCUUACCAGAAAGGGACGGCUAACUACGUGCCAGCAGCCGCGGUAAUACGUAGGUCCCGAGCGUUGUCCGGAUUUAUUGGGCGUAAAGCGAGCGCAGGCGGUUUGAUAAGUCUGAAGUUAAAGGCUGUGGCUCAACCAUAGUUCGCUUUGGAAACUGUCAAACUUGAGUGCAGAAGGGGAGAGUGGAAUUCCAUGUGUAGCGGUGAAAUGCGUAGAUAUAUGGAGGAACACCGGUGGUGAAAGCGGCUCUCUGGUCUGUAACUGACGCUGAGGCUCGAAAGCGUGGGGAGCGAACAGGAUUAGAUACCCUGGUAGUCCACGCCGUAAACGAUGAGUGCUAGGUGUUGGAUCCUUUCCGGGAUUCAGUGCCGCAGCUAACGCAUUAAGCACUCCGCCUGGGGAGUACGACCGCAAGGUUGAAACUCAAAGGAAUUGACGGGGGCCCGCACAAGCGGUGGAGCAUGUGGUUUAAUUCGAAGCAACGCGAAGAACCUUACCAGGUCUUGACAUCCCGAUGCUAUUUCUAGAGAUAGAAAGUUACUUCGGUACAUCGGUGACAGGUGGUGCAUGGUUGUCGUCAGCUCGUGUCGUGAGAUGUUGGGUUAAGUCCCGCAACGAGCGCAACCCCUAUUGUUAGUUGCCAUCAUUCAGUUGGGCACUCUAGCGAGACUGCCGGUAAUAAACCGGAGGAAGGUGGGGAUGACGUCAAAUCAUCAUGCCCCUUAUGACCUGGGCUACACACGUGCUACAAUGGUUGGUACAACGAGUUGCGAGUCGGUGACGGCGAGCUAAUCUCUUAAAGCCAAUCUCAGUUCGGAUUGUAGGCUGCAACUCGCCUACAUGAAGUCGGAAUCGCUAGUAAUCGCGGAUCAGCACGCCGCGGUGAAUACGUUCCCGGGCCUUGUACACACCGCCCGUCACACCACGAGAGUUUGUAACACCCGAAGUCGGUGAGGUAACCUUUUGGAGCCAGCCGCCUAAGGUGGGACAGAUGAUUGGGGUGAAGUCGUAACAAGGUA